GACGAACGCUGGCGGCGUGCUUAACACAUGCAAGUCGAACGGAAAGGCCCUGCUUUUGUGGGGUGCUCGAGUGGCGAACGGGUGAGUAACACGUGAGUAACCUGCCCUUGACUUUGGGAUAACUUCAGGAAACUGGGGCUAAUACCGGAUAGGAGCUCCUGCUGCAUGGUGGGGGUUGGAAAGUUUCGGCGGUUGGGGAUGGACUCGCGGCUUAUCAGCUUGUUGGUGGGGUAGUGGCUUACCAAGGCUUUGACGGGUAGCCGGCCUGAGAGGGUGACCGGCCACAUUGGGACUGAGAUACGGCCCAGACUCCUACGGGAGGCAGCAGUAGGGAAUAUUGCACAAUGGGCGGAAGCCUGAUGCAGCAACGCCGCGUGCGGGAUGACGGCCUUCGGGUUGUAACCCGCUUUCGCCUGUGACGAAGCGUGAGUGACGGUAAUGGGUAAAGAAGCACCGGCUAACUACGUGCCAGCAGCCGCGGUGAUACGUAGGGUGCGAGCGUUGUCCGGAUUUAUUGGGCGUAAAGGGCUCGUAGGUGGUUGAUCGCGUCGGAAGUGUAAUCUUGGGGCUUAACCCUGAGCGUGCUUUCGAUACGGGUUGACUUGAGGAAGGUAGGGGAGAAUGGAAUUCCUGGUGGAGCGGUGGAAUGCGCAGAUAUCAGGAGGAACACCAGUGGCGAAGGCGGUUCUCUGGGCCUUUCCUGACGCUGAGGAGCGAAAGCGUGGGGAGCGAACAGGCUUAGAUACCCUGGUAGUCCACGCUGUAAACGGUGGGUACUAGGUGUGGGGUCCAUUCCACGGGUUCCGUGCCGUAGCUAACGCUUUAAGUACCCCGCCUGGGGAGUACGGCCGCAAGGCUAAAACUCAAAGGAAUUGACGGGGCCCCGCACAAGCGGCGGAGCAUGCGGAUUAAUUCGAUGCAACGCGUAGAACCUUACCUGGGUUUGACAUGGAUCGGGAGUGCUCAGAGAUGGGUGUGCCUCUUUUGGGGUCGGUUCACAGGUGGUGCAAGGCUGUCGUCAGCUCGUGUCGUGAGAUGUUGGGUUAAGUCCCGCAACGAGCGCAACCCUUGUUCACUGUUGCCAGCACGUUAUGGUGGGGACUCAGUGGAGACCGCCGGGGUCAACUCGGAGGAAGGUGGGGAUGACGUCAAGUCAUCAUGCCCCUUAUGUCCAGGGCUUCACGCAUGCUACAAUGGCUGGUACAGAGAGUGGCGAGCCUGUGAGGGUGAGCGAAUCUCGGAAAGCCGGUCUCAGUUCGGAUUGGGGUCUGCAACUCGACCUCAUGAAGUCGGAGUCGCUAGUAAUCGCAGAUCAGCAACGCUGCGGUGAAUACGUUCCCGGGGCA
rnacentral:rRNA from 1 species